rnacentral:rRNA from 1 species
AUGCGGCUCAAGUGUUUGUCAGAUGAUCCAAUACAAAAGCAAAAGGUUGCUGAAUUUGCAGAGUGGAUACUACAGAUUGGCGAUGGGAAAACGACAUCAGAUGAAGGAGAGGAUUGGAUAAAAAUACCAAAAGACCUACUGCUAGAGAAAGGAGAAAAUCGUAAAGAACAAAUCGUCAAAAGCAUAUACCCAAAUUUGCUGCAAAAAUACCGUGAGCGGGAUUACCUAGAAGAAAGAGCAAUACUAUGUCCAAGAAAUGAUACAGUCAAGGAGAUAAAUGACCACAUAAUGAGCCAAAUACAAGGUGAAGAGGUGACAUACCUAAGCCUGGACACAGUGUGCAAGGCAACGACAAAUACCAACAUCAUGAUGAACUUGCAGCCUACUGAGUUCCUCAACACCUUAACGUCCCCAGGAAUACCAGACCAUAAGUUAAAACUGAAGGUGGGAUUGCCGGUCAUGCUCCUACGCAACAUCAACCAAGCAGCAGGCUUAUGCAACGGUACAAGAAUGACAAUUACACAACUUGGAAACAAAUACAUCGAGACACAAAUAAUCACAGGAACACAUGUCGGCGAUAAGGUAUACAUACCUCGAAUCAUCAUGUCACCAAGCGACUCAAAAUGGCCAUUCAUGCUG